rnacentral:misc_RNA from 1 species
GAUGAAGAACGCAGCGAAAUGCGAUACUUGGUGUGAAUUGCAGAAUCCCGUGAACCAUCGAGUCUUUGAACGCAAGUUGCGCCUCAAGCCAUUAGGUUGAGGGCACGUCUGCCUGGGCGUCACAUAUCGUUGCCUGAUGCCAGUUUCCUCGUGAUGGGUGACUGUGCAGGGCGAAUGAUGGCUUCCCGUGAGCAUUGUUGCCUCAUGGUUGGUUGAAAAUUGAGUCCUUGGUAGGGAGCGCCGUGAUAGAUGGUGGUUGAGUGACGAACGAGACCCAAUCAUGUGAGACCCCUACCGAAUUUGGCCUUCAUGACCCACAUGCGUCUUUGGAACGCUCAUGACGAGACCUCAGGUCAGGCGGGGCUACCCGCUGAGUUUAAGCGUAUCAAUAAGCGGAGGA